UUGGCAUUGCUGUGCACGUGACGUGUUAUCGCGUGUAUCAUACGACAUUCUUAAUACAUUCUGUCUGAGCCUUGCCCAGGUGUUCUUACUGCUUCGGGAUAUUUGCUGGAACUUCAAAGAAUACCUACACGCCAAAAUGACCGAAAUGAGUUGGAUGAGUGGGAUGGAGACGGACAGCGAAAUGUCGUUUGUAGAAGCCAGCGAGGUAACAGGAGCAGAACCAAGAGGUAUGCCCUACCAUAUUCCGCAGUUCUCUAUUUAUAUUGUCG